rnacentral:rRNA from 1 species
AAUGAACGCUGGCGGCAUGCCUAACACAUGCAAGUCGAACGAAGGCUUCGGCCUUAGUGGCGCACGGGUGCGUAACGCGUGGGAAUCUGCCCUUGGGUUCGGAAUAACUCAGAGAAAUUUGAGCUAAUACCGGAUGAUGUCGUAAGACCAAAGAUUUAUCGCCCAAGGAUGAGCCCGCGUAGGAUUAGCUAGUUGGUGAGGUAAAGGCUCACCAAGGCGACGAUCCUUAGCUGGUCUGAGAGGAUGAUCAGCCACACUGGGACUGAGACACGGCCCAGACUCCUACGGGAGGCAGCAGUGGGGAAUAUUGACAAUGGGCGAAAGCCUGAUCCAGCAAUGCCGCGUGAGUGAUGAAGGCCUUAGGGUUGUAAAGCUCUUUUACCCGGGAUGAUAAUGACAGUACCGGGAGAAUAAGCUCCGGCUAACUCCGUGCCAGCAGCCGCAGUAAAAC